rnacentral:rRNA from 1 species
AUGCUUGUCUCAAAGAUUAAGCCAUGCAUGUCUAAGUAUAAGCAAUCUAUACUGUGAAACUGCGAAUGGCUCAUUAAAUCAGUUAUCGUUUAUUUGAUAGUACCUUACUACUUGGAUAACCGUGGUAAUUCUAGAGCUAAUACAUGCUAAAAACCCCGACUUCGGAAGGGGUGUAUUUAUUAGAUAAAAAACCAAUGCCCUUCGGGGCUCCUUGGUGAAUCAUGAUAACUUAACGAAUCGCAUGGCCUUGCGCCGGCGAUGGUUCAUUCAAAUUUCUGCCCUAUCAACUUUCGAUGGUAGGAUAGUGGCCUACCAUGGUAUCAACGGGUAACGGGGAAUUAGGGUUCUAUUCCGGAGAGGGAGCCUGAGAAACGGCUACCACAUCCAAGGAAGGCAGCAGGCGCGCAAAUUACCCAAUCCCGACACGGGGAGGUAGUGACAAUAAAUACUGAUACAGGGCUCUUUUGGGUCUUGUAAUUGGAAUGAGUACAAUUUAAAUACCUUAACGAGGAACAAUUGGAGGGCAAGUCUGGUGCCAGCAGCCGCGGUAAUUCCAGCUCCAAUAGCGUAUAUUAAAGUUGUUGCAGUUAAAAAGCUCGUAGUUGAACCUUGGGCCUGGCUGGCCGGUCUGCCUCACCGCAUGUACUGGUUCGGCCGGGCCUUUCCUCCUGGGGAUCCGCAUGCCCUUCACUGGGUGUGUCGGGGAACCAGGACUUUUACUUUGAAAAAAUUAGAGUGUUCAAAGCAGGCCUUUGCUCGAAUACAUUAGCAUGGAAUAAUAGAAUAGGACGUGCGGUCCUAUUUUGUUGGUUUCUAGGACCGCCGUAAUGAUUAAUAGGGAUAGUCGGGGGCAUCAGUAUUCAGUUGUCAGAGGUGAAAUUCUUGGAUUUACUGAAGACUAACUACUGCGAAAGCAUUUGCCAAGGAUGUUUUCAUUAAUCAGUGAACGAAAGUUAGGGGAUCGAAGACGAUCAGAUACCGUCGUAGUCUUAACCGUAAACUAUGCCGACUAGGGAUCGGGCGAUGUUAUUCUUUUGACUCGCUCGGCACCUUACGAGAAAUCAAAGUCUUUGGGUUCUGGGGGGAGUAUG